rnacentral:rRNA from 1 species
GACGAACGCUGGCGGCGUGCUUAACACAUGCAAGUCGAACGGAAAGGCCCUGCUUUUGUGGGGUGCUCGAGUGGCGAACGGGUGAGUAACACGUGAGUAACCUGCCCUUGACUUUGGGAUAACUUCAGGAAACUGGGGCUAAUACCGGAUAGGAGCUCCUGCUGCAUGGUGGGGGCUGGAAAGUUUCGGCGGUUGGGGAUGGACUCGCGGCUUAUCAGCUUGUUGGUGGGGUAGUGGCUAACCAAGGCUUUGACGGGUAGCCGGCCUGAGAGGGUGACCGGCCACAUUGGGACUGAGAUACGGCCCAGACUCCUACGGGAGGCAGCAGUGGGGAAUAUUGCACAAUGGGCGGAAGCCUGAUGCAGCAACGCCGCGUGCGGGAUGACGGCCUUCGGGUUGUAAACCGCUUUCGCCUGUGACGAAGCGUGAGUGACGGUAAUGGGUAAAGAAGCACCGGCUAACUACGUG